GAGGGUAUAGCUCAGUGGUAGAGUGCAUUCUUAGCAUGCCUGACAUCCUGGGUUCAAUCUCCAGUACUUCCA
rnacentral:tRNA from 1 species